CUGUCUCCUUUUUCUAAUCAGUGAACUAAUCUUCCCGUGAAGAAGCGGGAAUAUCCCCAUAAGACGAGAAGACCCCAUGGAGCUUCAAACCCAAUUACACCCCUAACCCCUAUAACUACUUAACCCUUAGGAUUCUGUAUUAUUGGUUUUAGGUUGGGGCGACCACGGAGUACAACAAAACCUCCACAAUGAACGGAACUACUUCCUCAUCUGAGAGCUACAUCUCUAAGAAUUAAAAUAUUAACAUAAAAUGAUCCAUUUUUGAUCAAUGAACCAAGUUACCCUGGGGAUAACAGCGCAAUCCAUUUCAAGAGCCCCUAUCGACAAAUGGG
rnacentral:rRNA from 1 species